rnacentral:rRNA from 1 species
GAGUUUGAUUCUGGCUCAGAACGAACGCUGGCGGCGCGUCUUAAGCAUGCAAGUCGAACGGUAAGGGAGAGCUUGCUCUCCCCUAGAGUGGCGGACUGGUGAGUAACGCGUAGGUGACCUACCCUGAAGAUGGGGAUAGCUAGUAGAAAUAUUAGAUAAUACCGAAUAAGCUCAUUUGCAUAAAGGCAGAUGAGGAAAGGAGCUACGGCUCCGCUUUAGGAUGGGCCUGCGUCCCAUUAGCUAAGUUGGUGAGGUAAAGGCUUACCAAGGCAACGAUGGGUAUCCGGCCUGAGAGGGUGAACGGACACAUUGGGACUGAGAUACGGCCCAAACUCCUACGGGAGGCAGCAGCUAAGAAUCUUCCGCAAUGGACGAAAGUCUGACGGAGCGACGCCGUGUGAAUGAAGAAGGCUGAAAAGUUGUAAAAUUCUUUUGCAGAUGAAGAAUAAGGAUAGGAGGGAAUGCCUAUCUGAUGA